GAGGAAUAUUGGACAAUGGAUGGAAAUCUGAUCCAGCCAUGCCGCGUGCAGGAAGACGGCCCUAUGGGUUGUAAACUGCUUUUAUAUGGGAGCAAUAAGGUUUACGCGUAGACCGAUGAGAGUACCAUAUGAAUAAGCAUCGGCUAACUCCGUGCCAGCAGCCGCGGUAAUACGGAGGAUGCGAGCGUUAUCCGGAUUUAUUGGGUUUAAAGGGUGCGUAGGCGGCCUUGUAAGUCAGCGGUGAAAUUUUGCAGCUUAACUGUAACAGUGCCGUUGAUACUGCGGGGCUAGGAUUUGGUUGCUGUGGGUGGAAUGUGUGGUGUAGCGGUGAAAUGCUUAGAUAUCACACAGAAUAUCGAUUGCGAAGGCAGCUCACAAAGCCAAGAUUGACGCUGAGGCACGAAAGUGUGGGGAUCAAAC
rnacentral:rRNA from 1 species